GUGCUCGCUUCAGCACACGUAUACUAAAACUGGACUGGCACAGAGAAGGUUAGCGUGGCCCCUGCACAAGGAUGGCACACACCUUUGUGAGGCAUUCCAUAUUUUU
ensembl:snRNA U6 U6 spliceosomal RNA